UUUUUUUAAAUUUUGGUUUUGUAGUUAUUGUAAUUAAUUUGCCUCCUCUUUCGGCUGCAAGUUUAUUGAUUUGAUUAUCAAGGUUAUUCUUGUUGCUUUGUUCUAGAGGCAUAAAUAGGUUCAUUGUGAGGGUGUUAUUGAUUCUUGAUUCUGUUUCUUAAUAAUAAUCAGGGUUAAGCCUUCCUUUGGCAUAUUUCUUGUUUUAAGUAAUUCAAGAUUAAGAAAAUAAGUUAACUUUGUAAUAUUAUUUUGCGAAUAAAUCUUUUUAAUAUUUAUUUUUAGUAAAUUACUUUUCGGUCCUUGUUUUGCAGUGGUUUAAUCCUUUUAGUCCAUUUUUUAUUAAAUGAAUCAAAUUAGUUUGAAAGUGUUAUGAAGUGAGCUGUUAGAGACUCGAAUGGUUAAAGCUUUUGAUUUCAGGCUCAAAAAGUAGAUUUAUCAUUUUUCAAUAUAAAAAAAUUACCAACAUACAACAUUACACAUCAUUAAAACCCAUAAUUUAAAACGUUACAUCAAAAUAAAAAUUAAUACUUAAAAUAUGAUAAAGAACCCAUAAAACCAAAGUCGCCUCAAUCAUUUUGGUGGUCUAAAACGAAUUAAAAACAUUUUGGUUUAAAACGAAUUAAAAACUCAUUCUUUACUUGGGCUUUGAACUGGCAAAAUAAACUAAAAUCUAUUGUUGACGAAGUUGACCUCUGUUUUGUAAUUUUAUAUAUAUUUUUUUUAUGUUUUUAUAAGUUCGGUCCAACUCAAAUAUCAUAUAUAAUGUUUUUUGGAGUUUGAGUUCCUAUUGAUUUGGAGGACUGUAGUCCAUGUUUUAAAAUACUUGGACUUGAGCUACUUCAUACUUAAACAUAGGCUGACAAUUAGUUUUUGGUUUUUAUUAAUGGAUACAGUUUUUAUUGAUUUGAUUAUCAAGUUUAUUCUUGCUGCUUUGUUCUAGAGGCAUAAAUAGUUUCAUUGCGAGGGUGUUAUUGUUCCUUGAUUUUGUUUCUUUGUAAUAAUCAGGACUAAGCCUUCCUCUGGCAUAUUUUUUGUUUUAACUAAUGGAAUGAAAGAUUUGACGUUUACGAAUUACGAUAAAAAACUAAUGGAAGAUUAUAAAAAAAUAAAUAAACUUGGUAAUGCAACUAUUUCUAUGUAAUCUUGAACUCGAAGUGAAUAUUCGAACUAGAGAGUAAUUUGUAAAUGUAGAAUAAGUGAUAAGAACUCAUGGAGGCAAAUAGACACAAGAUCACUUGAAAGGUGAAGGCCUACAUUUUUCUUUUAGGUAGAAGACUUAAACAAUGUCUCAAUCUUUGGGUGUUUUAAGUCGUGUGACGGUUCAGUUAGCAAUUGAGCAUAAUGUGAUGUUUUUCAUAAUUGAGUGUAGUGGAAUAAUAUACAAUGCCUCAUAAUAAAUUAUUACUCAAUUAUUAUUUUUUUCAAAAAGUUACUAAUAAUUGGAAUUCAUUUCAUAAAAAAAUUUACAUUUCUAAAAAUAAAAAUAAAAACCACAAAAUAAAACAAAUAAAAUAUUACAUUGCUAAAUAAAAAACUAAGAAUCUAAAGUUGUAUUUUUCUUGGAUUUUUUGCUUGAUGCAUUUGCCUAUAAGAGGGUCAUAGUCUCUAAACGCUAAUGACCGAGAUCUCGAAUGUCUUGUAGGCGUUGGUUCAUCAAUUCUUCCUUCAUUAUGUCGGGUCGGGUUUAGCCGAAGAUGACUCCACCUUUUUCACUUAUUUUUUUUUGUUUAUAAGCGGUCGUUCCAACUGCAAGUCCCUAUCGUCCUCCAAAUUAAUGUGUAAGUCGACGUUUCUUGUAAUGUUGACAUAAACAUUAAUUUGGAGGACGACGAGUAUUUGGACUUCGAACGACCGCUCGGUCGAAAAAGUGGGAAAAUAUGGGUUAUUAUCAGAAAAAUAUGUUGGCUAAUCCCGACGUAAUGAAAGAAGAUUAUGAAACGACAUUUACAAGACAUUAGAGAUCUUGGUCAAAUGCAAGAAAGAAACGUUGAAAACAAAAAAAUUGUUGUGAUACAAGAAUCGAGGCAAAUGAAGAAAUACAUAAUUUUUGUCUAAAUCAAUCGACCAUCUUCCAAGCGAUGGACUAAUCUUAGCACAAAUGCGUCAGCAACAUAUCCAUGAAAAUUACGGACUUUAGAUUAUAAGUUUUUUAGUUAUCAAUGUAAUUUUUUUUGUUUUUUUUUUUGGUUUUUUAUUUUUAUAUUUAACAAUGUAUUUUUUUUAAUUACUGAAAUUUUAUUAGUUU
rnacentral:lncRNA from 1 species